UCUCUCCAGCGUGUCCUGGGUCUGCCCGGGGCCUUAUUUUCUGGUCAGUGAGUGUAAUGCACCCGGUAAAGUCAACAGAAAAAACUUCACAUGUUCUUCCACGUUCGUAGAGAGGAGCUCAUGGUUCGUAGAGACAGCUGCCAGAGACGGAGAAACGCAAGAACAGGGAGAAAAUGAUCUGCAGGAUCCUGCUGCUCAUCAUCCUCACCUCAUGUGUCUCUGGAUCAUUUGUAGUCAAUGUGACACAGACCUGCUAUCAGGCAGAGGAGAACCACAACAUCACACUGGAGUGGACGUUCACCACCAAACCUGACAGAUCCUCCAAAACUCUCAACAUCCUCUGUUAACUGAUAACUGAGCAUACAGAUUCAGUCCUGUAUCAGGAUCAUGAAGGUGUUGAGGUGUCAGAGUCUCAGGAUGAAAAGUUUUCAGGACGAGUCCAGAGUGACAAAGACGCCCUCAGAGAAGGACGAAUCAGACUUCAGCUGUCCAGACUCAGGACUGAUGACUCGGGUCUGCACCUGUGUGAGGUGAACACUGAUUAUGGUUACAGCUCUGACGACUGUCAACUCAAUGUCACUGCAGCUGCAGAUGAACUCAAAUCUAAGAGACCAACUUUAAAAUCACAAAAAAACAAUAUCUUAAUUGGAGUGACAGCAGUUGGAGUGGCAGUAGUUUUAAUCAUUGUGUGUACAUCUCUGUAUGUCAUGUUGAAAAAAAAAAGAAUUCACCGUAACCUCUAUGCUGAUGUAGAGAUGUUGAGUGUCUCAGAAAAACAAACUGGGACUGACAGGAUUCUCUGUGCAGGACCAACUUUGGAUCAGAGCGAAUCAUCAGUCACACAAAGAAAAGACUCUGAGCUGCUUUAGGUACAGGAAGUGAUGUGUGCUGUGUAACAUGACUUAUGUUAAAUCGGGCUCGUAUUAUCCUGGGAUUGAAUUCACAGCUGUAAUGAGUAAAGGGGGGACAGUUUUUGCCACCAAAAUCCACCUGUGCUGCACACUGGUAUUACUGGUGUGUGCCCGUGUCUGCGUGUGUGUCCACAUAUGCCUGUGCAGAUGGAGGCGAUACAGUUAAGCUGAAAAAGUAUUCGAUCAACAAAUGACUUAAACAAUGAUGUCUAACCCAAGAGCAAGCAAAAGUCACGGCAAGAAAUCACAAGGCCUGGAAGUGCAUCGUUGACCAAGAUGGAAACCCUGUGGUACCCACGGCGACGUCUUGGCCUCGUGGACGACCUCCGUCUGCCAGCUAAGGACAAAAGAAGACGAAAGAAAGAAUCAUUAAUGUGUCUGAAGGGAGAGUUUAUUUCUUACCCUUCUGAUUACUGAUGGAUGUUGUAGCACAGAGCGCUGCCUUUUCUAAUCUUUCUGUUAAAAAAGUUUACAUAUUGUAAAUACAUAUUAAUUUUUAUGGGUUUGAAUUUUUCUGAAUUUUCUGUUUAUAAGUCUAUUUUUAAACUGUGUAUGUUCCCAGGUUCCAAAUACUGUGUCACAAAUAACUAUAAUGACAGGUACAGACUGAGAAACCAUCAUAAAGUUUUCUUUGAGACUGUAUGAAUAAAAGACACUAACACUAAAACACAGAUUUCAGAAAGUAUUAAAACAGAGAAAUGUAAUGUGUGGUGUUGAGUGUCAUACUUUUCCAUGUUGGCCAAAUGGAAAAGUUUUAAAAUACAUGGAAAUGU